rnacentral:rRNA from 1 species
AGAAGGGAGCUUGCUCCCGGAUGUUAGCGGCGGACGGGUGAGUAACACGUGGGUAACCUGCCUGUAAGACUGGGAUAACUCCGGGAAACCGGAGCUAAUACCGGAUAGUUCCUUGAACCGCAUGGUUCAAGGAUGAAAGACGGUUUCGGCUGUCACUURCAGAUGGACCCGCGGCGCAUUAGCUAGUUGGUGGGGUAAUGGCUCACCAAGGCGACGAUGCGUAGCCGACCUGAGAGGGUGAUCGGCCACACUGGGACUGAGACACGGCCCAGACUCCUACGGGAGGCAGCAGUAGGGAAUCUUCCGCAAUGGACGAAAGUCUGACGGAGCAACGCCGCGUGAGUGAUGAAGGUUUUCGGAUCGUAAAGCUCUGUUGUUAGGGAAGAACAAGUGCGAGAGUAACUGCUCGCACCUUGACGGUACCUAACCAGAAAGCCACGGCUAACUACGUGCCAGCAGCCGCGGUAAUACGUAGGUGGCAAGCGUUGUCCGGAAUUAUUGGGCGUAAAGGGCUCGCAGGCGGUUUCUUAAGUCUGAUGUGAAAGCCCCCGGCUCAACCGGGGAGGGUCAUUGGAAACUGGGAAACUUGAGUGCAGAAGAGGAGAGUGGAAUUCCACGUGUAGCGGUGAAAUGCGUAGAGAUGUGGAGGAACACCAGUGGCGAAGGCGACUCUCUGGUCUGUAACUGACGCUGAGGAGCGAAAGCGUGGGGAGCGAACAGGAUUAGAUACCCUGGUAGUCCACGCCGUAAACGAUGAGUGCUAAGUGUUAGGGGGUUUCCGCCCCUUAGUGCUGCAGCUAACGCAUUAAGCACUCCGCCUGGGGAGUACGGUCGCAAGACUGAAACUCAAAGGAAUUGA